rnacentral:lncRNA from 1 species
AGCUGAGCAGCAAACAGCAACACUAUGAAGUAGGCAUUAUUGUUAACCCCAUUUCACUAAUCAGAAAACUAAGGCUUAGACUACAGCCUAAGUGACCCGCACUACAGCACAUAGCUGAUGCUCCAGAUCAGGGCCAAGACUUAGGACUCAGCUGCCUCUUGGGCAGCUGGGCUCUUUACACUAGAGGCAGAGAUUUGGAAAGGUGUUUUGCUGCUAGGUGUACGACAUGUGAACGAAACAAACUGAAUUACAGGGGCAGCGUGAAGGUUUUCCCUCCAGAUGAAAUCAAGCAGGUUUCCAAUAAGGAUGGAUAUGAAGACUUCUCUGAAGCAAGCAGUGAAGGAGACCUCCUAGGGGAUGAUGAUGCAGUGUGCGUCCUGAUCAUGCUUUCGCCUGGAGCAACGUGAAUCAUCUUUAAAAAAAAACAACUGCUGUCUCAACAUGGCCACUGUGGGUGAGGCCUGAUUAUCUCAGGAUAUCUGCAAGAUGACUCCAAUGCAGCAACAACCAGAUGUGCUCCAGCCCAGCUGGGCUUCAGUUUCCAUAUUUGCCAUGUGUUUGUCCAGAUGU